UUCAGCUGGCAGCUUAUUUUUGACAUAACAGCGUCAAAAUAUUUUCCUUUUGAGUUUGCAGUGCCACUUCGAGUAGAGCAUUAACAUUUGCUUGCUAGAUUAAAGUUAAAUUUUGCACCUUUCCUUUAAUGAAUCGGAAACGCAAAUGCAGUUCCGAGCAAAAUACGUCACAAGUGUUGUUCAUAUAAAUUAAACAGUUUUGACAAAAUUUAUGUUUCCGACUUUUUUUUUUGCUAUCAAAAAAAAAAAGCGUCGUACAACACACACUGCAGAUGAAGAGAACGCCAUAAAUUGAAGUGUAGGUUGGAAAGAAAAAUAGGAAGAAAAUUUGCAAGUUUUUUCUUGACGGUUGGCGCUUGCGUUCGAGUUCGAGCCUACAGCUGCCUGCCAUCAACCAGCCUGCGGCCAAAGCCGAAAUAUACCCCAUAUACUUUUUGACAUCUUCUAAGAUAACUCAGGCGGCUGCUGCAACAUUAAGCGCAACGCAAUCGAAAUCGAAAUCGAAUGUCAACACGAUAACAACACAAAAAAGAGCACACACUCAAAAAAAAAAAAAAAAAAA